rnacentral:rRNA from 1 species
CAGCCGCCGCGGGAAUACGUAGGGUGCAAGCGUUAAUCGGAAUUACUGGGCGUAAAGCGUGCGCAGGCGGUUAUAUAAGACAGAUGUGAAAUCCCCGGGCUCAACCUGGGAACUGCAUUUGUGACUGUAUAGCUAGAGUACGGCAGAGGGGGAUGGAAUUCCGCGUGUAGCAGUGAAAUGCGUAGAUAUGCGGAGGAACACCGAUGGCGAAGGCAAUCCCCUGGGCCUGUACUGACGCUCAUGCACGAAAGCGUGGGGAGCAAACAGGAUUAGAUACCCCCGUAGUCCCUGUCUCUUAUAU